UACGAAGGGGGCUAGCGUUGUUCGGAUUUACUGGGCGUAAAGCGCACGUAGGCGGUUCGUUAAGUCAGGGGUGAAAUCCCGGAGCUCAACUCCGGAACUGCCUUUGAUACUGGCGACCUUGAGGCUGGAAGAGGUUAGUGGAAUUCCCAGUGUAGAGGUGAAAUUCGUAGAUAUUGGGAAGAACACCAGUGGCGAAGGCGGCUAACUGGUCCAGAUCUGACGCUGAGGUGCGAAAGCGUGGGGAGCAAACAGG
rnacentral:rRNA from 1 species